GCAUUAAUGGGGUAGUGGUAACCUGGGUCGUUGCCAUGGACCCUGCCUCGGAUGAAGUAUUCGACCCGCCGGGGGUUCGAUUCCCCCUUAAUGCA